rnacentral:rRNA from 1 species
CCUACGGGGGGCAGCAGUGGGGAAUAUUGGGCAAUGGGCGCAAGCCUGACCCAGCAAUGCCGCGUGAAGGAAGAAGGCCCUCGGGUUGUAAACUUCUUUUAUCAGGGACGAAGGAUGUGACGGUACCUGAUGAAUAAGCUCCGGCUAACUACGUGCCAGCAGCCGCGGUAAUACGUAGGGAGCAAGCGUUAUCCGGAUUUACUGGGUGUAAAGGGCGCGUAGGCGGGAUGGCAAGUCAGCGGUCAAAUUGCGGGGCUCAACCCCGUACUGCCGUUGAAACUGCAUCCCUUGAGUGCGCGAGAAGUAUGCGGAAUGCGUGGUGUAGCGGUGAAAUGCAUAGAUAUCACGCAGAACUCCGAUUGUGAAGGCAGCAUACCGGCGCGCAACUGACGCUCAUGCACGAAAGCGUGGGUAUCGAACAGGAUUAGAUACCCUUGUAGUC